GUCAGCAGUCGCGAAUCUUCCACAAUGGACGAAAGUCUGAUGGAGCGACGCCGCGUGCGGGAUGAAGGCCUUAUGGGUUGUAAACCGCUGUCAGGGGGGAAGAACAUCGGAAUGAACAAUACUCAUUCCGACUGACGUUACCCCAGAGGAAGCUCCGGCCAACUCCGUGCCAGCAGCCGCGGUAAUACGGGGGAGCAAGCGUUGUCCGGAAUUAUUGGGCGUAAAGGGCGUGUAGGCGGCGAGGUAAGUCGAAUGUGAAAUCUCACGGCUCAACCGUGAAACUGCGUUCGAAACUACCCUGCUUGAGUACGGGAGAGGUGUACGGAAUUCCUGGUGUAGCGGUGGAAUGCGUAGAUAUC
rnacentral:rRNA from 1 species